GGGAACGCACAGUCGGUGCGGCCCUCCGUCCUUGCACAGGUCACGCCUCCUGGAAUCCUUUGCGUGCGAAAUCCGGCGUGAAAUUCUAAACAACGGGAAUCCCGAGUAACGUUCAUGGGAUCGGAGUUGCACUGUUGCUGCAGCCCUAAAUACAAUGACGAAAGCAGCUAGCCCCAAUCUGGUGCUCUCCAGGUGUCUUGACACUAGAACUCCCAGCAUCCUCGUCUGGGGAUGCUGGAAGUUGUACUUCAACACAAGUACAACAGGCUCAAAAAGGUUCUACUGGAGAAAGAUAGAGUGUCCUGUAUAUGUUUCGACCGAAAAAAGUUAUACAACGCAUCGUAGGGCUUUUGUGUCUUAAACUGCACAGAAUUGCAUCCUAAAACACAUUGGAUGCAUUGGCAUAAACUUCUGAGUAAACUUGUUGGAACAUCUCUUAUCCAAUAUGGUUCCUGCUCAGAGGCAGAAAUAAGGGGCAGCCUGUCUCCUGUCAAAGAGUAGCAGUCUGGGUGAUGCAGACUGUACCACAGACUUGUGAAGCGCCAGGGCUCCAAUUUCCAGUUCAUCAGAAGGCACAUACAACAGGAGCAAUGGUGACAUCAAAUGCCCCACUUGCUGGGAUCCAUACAUGGGAAAUUUGCAAGGCAGCAACACAGUCAAUUCCAUCAACCUUCAUCAAAGUACUACAAGCUUGACUUCCAUGCCAGAUCAAACUGUGCUUUUGGAAGAGCAGUCGUUUUCCAUCCAAGCAGAGAUCUUUUUGGUGAAAAGGACAAAGAGGUAUGGAGUGGUGGAAAAACACAGGGUUGCAACAUGAAGAUGAUGUGGCCUAGAUCCUUACUAAGCCUCACAGACUCUCUGGCUUGAUGAAUGAUGAUGCACAAUAGGACAGUCUGGAUUCGAAAUUCCUGAACUGCAGUGGAAAAAACUGUUUUGCUUCUGGGCCUGUCCGGGCUGCAGCUUCAUCUUCCCAUUUCUGUAUCACAGCCCCCAACAGAGAAGAGUGGGGAGUGGCCUGGUGCCCUGCCAGGGUGCUCUGCACUCACUGAAGAAGGAGGCAUGACCAGGUGGCAAGAGGUGGCAAGGCUAGCACUAGAGAGGCCCGGGUUCAAGCCCCAAAUUGCCCUGCAGCUGACUGGGGGACCUUAAGGUAGUGUCUCUCAACAUACUUCACAAGGUUGCUGUGAGCUCCUGAGAGGACAGGUGGGAUACAAUGGAAGAAAUAAAUAAAUCGAAGAAAUCAGCUCAUGGGCCAUCAAAGCACAGUGCAAUCUAACAUUCCAUGUAUGUGCAGACUAGAGUGGGAGAGAAAUAAACCAGUGUAGCUGAUUCCCAGAAUUAGAGCUGUCUAGACAUGCCCUGAUUAAAUUAAUGAGCCUAAACCUAUUCACUUGGAUUUUGAAAAUGUUAGAUUUAACUGUCAGUUAAUUUGAGAAGCACAGAAAUCAAUUUUCCACUUUGGAAUCACCAGACUCUGUUUAAGCAAAUAUACUCUGAUUUGUUAAUUAUUUUCUUCACACUAAAUAUUUUUCUCAAAUCAAUAUUUGAAGUUAGGGGCAAAAAUGUUUUAAUAAAGAUUACUUUAAAUGACGGAAAUUUAAAGGAGAGCAAUUCAAUUACCAAAGAACCAGAUCAAAGCACAUUUUUGAAACUGGCAUAUUUAUAAUGAAUUAUCAAAGUAGAUGCAAUUUCAUAAAAAGCAAACACAAAAAUGGUUUCAACUUCCUCUCAGCUAUCCACCUAGAGAGAUGAAAAUACUAGUUUGCCUCAUAUGCCCCCUGUACACCAAGAAAAAGAAACAAGAUUGUUAGUCUGGGCAUAUGAGUCAAAGACAUGUGGUGUCUUCUUUCAUCCUGUAAUACGCUUCUAGAAAUAUUAUUCUUUCUAGUUCUUUUUACAUGGGGAGUGGUUGUGGCUUAGUGUUAGAGCAAAUGCUUUACAUGUAGAUGGUUCCAGGAUCAGUCUGUGGCAUCUGCAGGUAAAACUAGGAAAGACUCUUGCUUUGACCAGUCAGUGUCAAAAAUAUUAGGCUAGACCAGUGAUGGCGAACCUUUUAGAGACCAAGUGCCCAAACUGCAACCCAAAACCCACUUAUUUAUCGCAAAGUGCCAACACUGCAGUAAAACCUGAAUACUGAGGUGCCCUUCUCCAUUUCUCAUUAGUCUCCUCCUCUACUUCCCAUAGUCUUUCAGGACUUCAUUGGUUUCAGUAGUUUCUUCUUGCCCAUGUGAACCAGCCAUACGUUAUCUGGUCAGCAACCUUAAAGGAGCUUGUAAUCCUGAAAACUUACUGACAGCUUACCAUGUAAACUUACAGCAAACUGUACACAUACUGAGAGCCUGUAUGAUGUAGUGGUUAAGAAUGGGACUGGGACUCAGGUGAUCUAGUCUCCACUCAGCCAUGGAGCCAACUGGGUGACUUUGGACCAGUCACAGACUCUCUGCACAACCUGCCUUGCAGGGUUGUUGUGUUCAGCCGUGUCUUCAAGUUGCCCUUCCUCCGCUCUCCUACAGUAAUGUUUUCUAAGGGAUUCCCCCAGGAAGAAAUCUGAAUUUGACUGAAAAAGUAUGUUGAAGCCUUUGAAGACUUCAUAUUGUACAAUCUUUCAGCAUGAUGUGGUGAUAAAAUUGCUCCAGAUUUGCAUGACAGGUACAUACCAAUAGCUACAUUGUCCCCUUUUUGAUGAAAUAUUCCACCAUGGAUAGCCUUGUUCUCCUAGCCCCUGGAAUUCUAACCUAUCCACCUGCAUAAGAGCCUUAUCUAUGUGGAGGAAUUAGCAUCCAAAACAGAUAAAGUUGCUGCAGGGACUUGAGCCGUGUCAGUUUGCUUCCCAGACGACAGCAUGGGACCCACAGAUCCAUUGGUGAAGGGCAGAUCUUCACCAGCCUUUUUCUCACAUGAUCCCUCCACACAAGCAUCACAGAAGCCACCUUGCAAUGUAUUUGAAGCACCUUGAGCCCUAUAGUGCACAGGUAAUCGUGUCUAGUAUGCCCAAGUCAUGCAGAGCCCCACCUUCAAGAAAUUUAAGGUUCCCAAACCCUGGGGCAUCCCAAACAAGUAGUCCAGUUUGAGCUAGCAGUCUAUCCCUGCUUCCCCAGCAAACAAUCCUUUUGGUCAAGUUUACCAACAACUUGCUCCUCCAGUACAAGCAACCCAAUGCAUUUUCCAUCUAUUGUGAGAAAAGAGAGGGUGGCACCCUGAAAAGUGUUACUCUUUACAGCAGAAAAGGAUGGACUUAGGCACAGCCUUUCAGGAAGUCAUCUGGAGUCAUUUCCCAAUAGAAACACAGUCAGAGCUGGAUCUCCACAUGGAAAUUAUGGAGAUCAAGACCAGCUGUAACACCCAAGCAUCUGUCUCUGGAAGAGGAGCAGCAGCAGCAGCAAUGACAACGCAAUGUUGUUGAACUAAACAUCCUUAUGACGCAUUCACUUGCUACUUCCAGAAGACCAUUAAACAUAUAAGACACAAACCUGAAGUGGUCAUUCUUCCUAAAUUGCCUUAGGUGAGCACAGGAAAACAGUCACUACCACCUUGAUUUAGUAUACCUUUCCACAGAGCCAAGUGGCCCUUCCUUCUCUGGUUGGGAGAGGGUGAAGAGCCUGAAGGUAAAGCUGGAAAUGAAGAAAUGCAGCCUGAGGAACCAGCACAACAACUGAGUCUAGAAAAUCCCGGAUGGCAAGUGAAGGAGGAGCUUCACUCGUCAAAGCUUGCUGGGUGGCAUGUCUCCAUGACAAGUGGCUCUGCUCCUACUUGACCAGCCAUGUUCAGAAGGUGGUGCUGGGGGAUUACCGCUCUGUGCCAUGGAGUCCCCCCAUGUUACCCCCCAUGUUACCGCUCUAUCUUACCCCCAUGUUCUUCAACAUCUACAGGAAACCACUUGGAGAAGUCACCAGAACGUGUGGGCUGAUAUGUCUGCUCUGCCUUUCUUUUUCAUAUGACGCAGGUGUGACAGUAGAUGUUCUGAAUUGUGAUAUGGCCUUGAUAAUGGAUUGGAUAAGGGCCAAUAAACUGAAACUUAAUCCAGACGAGACAGAGAUACUAUUGUCUCUCUAAUUGUCAUUGUUUUAAUGUAUUUUG